GUGUACCUACGGGACGCAGCAGUGGGGAAUAUUGCACAAUGGGGGAAACCCUGAUGCAGCGACGCCGCGUGAGUGAAGAAGUAUUUCGGUAUGUAAAGCUCUAUCAGCAGGGAAGAAGCAAGACGGUACCUGACUAAGAAGCCCCGGCUAACUACGUGCCAGCAGCCGCGGUAAUACGUAGGGGGCAAGCGUUAUCCGGAUUUACUGGGUGUAAAGGGAGCGUAGACGGUCCUGCAAGCCAGAUGUGAAAGCCCGGGGCUCAACCCCGGGACUGCAUUUGGCACUGUAAGGCUAGAGUGUCGGAG
rnacentral:rRNA from 1 species